rnacentral:tRNA from 1 species
GCGGACGUGGUGGAACGGUAGACACACGGGACUUAAAAUCCCGAGGCAGCGAUGCCGUGCGGGUUCAAGUCCCGCCGUCCGCACCA